AAAAACACAGCACUGUGCAAAAUCGUAAGAUGACGUAUACGGUGUGACGCCUGCCCGGUGCCGGAAGGUUAAUUGAUGGGGUUAGACUUCGGUCGAAGCUCUUGAUCGAAGCCCCGGUAAACGGCGGCCGUAACUAUAACGGUCCUAAGGUAGCGAAAUUCCUUGUCGGGUAAGUUCCGACCUGCACGAAUGGCGUAAUGAUGGCCACGCUGUCUCCACCCGAGACUCAGUGAAAUUGAAAUCGCUGUGAAGAUGCAGUGUACCCGCGGCUAGACGGAAAGACCCCGUGAACCUUUACUACAGCUUGGCACUGAACAUUGACCCUACAUGUGUAGGAUAGGUGGGAGGCUUUGAAGCACGUACGCCAGUAUGUGUGGAGCCGUCCUUGAAAUACCACCCUUGUAGUGUUGAUGUUCUAACGUUGACCCCUUAUCGGGGUUGCGGACAGUGCCUGGUGGGUAGUUUGACUGGGGCGGUCUCCUCCCAAAGAGUAACGGAGGAGCACGAAGGUGGGCUAAUCACGGUUGGACAUCGUGAGGUUAGUGCAAUGGCAUAAGCCCGCUUGACUGCGAGAAUGACAAUUCGAGCAGGUGCGAAAGCAGGUCAUAGUGAUCCGGUGGUUCUGAAUGGAAGGGCCAUCGCUCAACGGAUAAAAGGUACUCCGGGGAUAACAGGCUGAUACCGCCCAAGAGUUCAUAUCGACGGCGGUGUUUGGCACCUCGAUGUCGGCUCAUCACAUCCUGGGGCUGAAGUCGGUCCCAAGGGUAUGGCUGUUCGCCAUUUAAAGUGGUACGCGAGCUGGGUUUAGAACGUCGUGAGACAGUUCGGUCCCUAUCUGCCGUGGGCGUUGGAAGAUUGAAGGGGGCUGCUCCUAGUACGAGAGGACCGGAGUGGACGAACCUCUGGUGUUCGGGUUGUGUCGCCAGACGCAUUGCCCGGUAGCUAAGUUCGGAAUCGAUAACCGCUGAAAGCAUCUAAGCGGGAAGCGAGCCCUGAGAUGAGUCUUCCCUGAUACUUUAAGUAUCCUAAAGGGUUGUCGGAGACUACGACGUUGAUAGGUCAGGUGUGUAAGUGCUGUGAGGCAUUGAGCUAACUGAUACUAAUUGCCCGUGAGGCUUAACCAUACAACACCCAAGG
rnacentral:rRNA from 1 species